rnacentral:tRNA from 7 species
GGGGAUAUAGCUCAGCUGAUAGAGCGCAGCAUUCGCAUUGCUGAGGUCGAGGGUUUGAGUCCCUCUAUCUCCACCA